rnacentral:rRNA from 1 species
GUGGGGAAUAUUGGACAAUGGGCGAAAGCCUGAUCCAGCCAUGCCGCGUGUGUGAAGAAGGUCUUCGGAUUGUAAAGCACUUUAAGUUGGAAGGAAGGGCAGUAAGUUAAUACCUUGCUGUUUUGACGUUACCGACAGAAUAAGCACCGGCUAACUUCGUGCCAGCAGCCGCGGUAAUACGAAGGGUGCAAGCGUUAAUCGGAAUUACUGGGCGUAAAGCGCGCGUAGGUGGUUUUGUAAGUUGGAGGUGAAAUCCCCGGGCUCAACCUGGGAACUGCCUCCAAAACUGCAUGACUAGAGUACGGUAGAGGGUAGUGGAAUUUCCUGUGUAGCGGUGAAAUGCGUAGAUAUAGGAAGGAACACCAGUGGCGAAGGCGACUACCUGGACUGAUACUGACACUGAGGUGCGAAAGCGUGGGGAGCAAACAGGAUUAGAAACCCUGGUAGUCC